UCAUGGUCACGCUCUGAAUGCCCGUGGGAGGGAAGCCCGGCAAAGUCUUCCCGUAGGGCACUUGGGACUUUUGUGAUCCGUGUUUGGCGUGGCUGCGUUUUCACAGAGCAGCAAGCCUGGCCGGACCCCGUGCCCAGAGCCCCUCCCCAUCAACUCUGCCGGCUCCACUCCAGCCAGAAACAAUGCACCGGCCAGGAGCGAAGCCAGGGCAACGUUGCUGUGCGUUUCUUUAGUGGCAAGUUCAGAGCAUCCCUGCCCAACCCCCACGGCCCCUCCCCCUUGUGAAACACAGCGCCGGUUAUACCACCCCCGGAGCUCCUGGGGGCGCUGUUCGCGUAGACUAAAACAUGGACGUCGCCUUCGGAAGGCUUGAGCCACAGCUGCACGGAUUCCCCGUGACCCACUCAUGACCUGGCCACAGAGACCCAUGUCGAGUCCCGGUUAACAAGGAAGUGUGUGGUUCAAGAAAGAGGAAGAAAUUGGCAGCUGGCAUUGAGGCCUUUCCAUGAAUUCAGAUAGGCAAGUCCAAGGCUUCUCAGGAAGCCAGCAUGAGGCUCCUUGGAGGUAGAGAUGAUUAGAAAUCUUGGAGCAAUUAUGGAAAAUUGAUUGAAUUGCAGGAUAAAAGAGUACCUUCAUUUUGGCAAGAUGAUUUGGGACUCUUCUUGAUACUCCUCUCUGUGGACACGGGGAACUGUUGGCCAGACAAGUCAUCCCUAUCAUGUACAUUGUACACUUACUGUGCUCUGCAUUGAAAUCACAAAGAUGAAUAAAACAUGGUCCUUGCCUUGGAGAAACUCAGCAUGGUGA